GCUCCAUUGAGCCUCGGGCAUGGGGAGGAGCUGGCUGGCUGGGGCUGCAGGAGCCCUGCUGCUGUUGGGCUGCAUUGAAGGUUGGUGAGGGCUGGAAGGGAGAACGCUGGCGUUGUGGAUGGGAGGUAACGGCCACCGGUUGCGCUGGGGGAGGUUCAGGUCGGGUGUUAAGAACGGUGGAGUCACGGUCCCUGGAGGUCUGCCCCACACAGAUGCUGGUCUGAUGGAGCCGGAGACCUGCAGCCCCCUAGGUGAUUUUCCCCCACCAGCUCUCCUACCAAACAUCUCCUCAGCUCAGGAAGGCAAUCUGGUGCUCGCCCGCUGCCUGGUUUUCUCCCAUCUCCCCAUCACCCACAUCUUCUUCUGCAAGAACGGAGUGGUGCUGGAGAACCACCCCGUGGGUCCCAAGGAAUUCACAGCCACACUCACCAUCCGGCUUUCUGCGGAGAGCAGUGGCACCUACUCCUGUGGGUACCGACGGCAAAGCAACGUUGGGCACAUCAAGAUCUCAAGUUUGAGCAUCCCAUGGCUCCUGACCAUCGAAGGUAGGAAGGGGGAGCUGAGGAACAGCAGCAGCACCGCCACCACCACCCCAGAGCUGCCAGCUGAAGGGCUGGGAAUCUCACUCAGCCUGGCCCUCGUGUUCAUCUCCCUCCUGGCUCUGGCUUUGAGCAUCCACUUCUUCCUGCAGAUAGAAAGCGAGUCCAGCUGGCCAGCUUGAAGCAUUUCGUUCAUCCCCCAGUGGAAGAGCCCAGCGUUUCACAGAGGAAGAGUCCUCCAGGAUCUCUUGCAUCUGGAUGACUUCUUGUUGGACCACAGACGUGCUCUUGGAUGUGAAUAUUGCAGCCCUCAAUGGACAUAGCAGGGGGAAUUGGCCCAAGACAGAAUCCCUUAGGCUCAACACCAGCUGCUCUGCAUAGGCAAGAACCAACAGCACCUCUCCAGAUGUUCCAGUGCCAUAGCAACAGCUCUUGGACGUGGAAGUCCAUCAAUUAAUUAAAAAGUUGAUUUCCUC
rnacentral:lncRNA from 7 species